rnacentral:tRNA from 2 species
AGCGGGAUGGAGCAGUUAGGUAGCUCGUUGGGCUCAUAACCCGAAGGUCAUAGGUUCAAAUCCUAUUUUCGCAA